UGCAUCAAGUCAGAGAACGGAUCUGACCCA
rnacentral:piRNA from 1 species